UAUGGCCACAUCAUGUUGAAACAUUGGUUCCUGUAUGAUCACCAAAGUUAAGCAAUGUUGAGCUUGGUCAUUACUUAGAUGGGUAACCAUUUGGGAAUAACAAGUACUGUAA